ACACAUGCAAGUCGAGCGGAAACGAUGGUAGCUUGCUACCAGGCGUCGAGCGGCGGACGGGUGAGUAAUACUUAGGAAUCUACCUAGUAGUGGGGGAUAGCACGGGGAAACUCGUAUUAAUACCGCAUACGACCUACGGGAGAAAGGGGGCAGUUUACUGCUCUCGCUAUUAGAUGAGCCUAAGUCGGAUUAGCUAGAUGGUGGGGUAAAGGCCUACCAUGGCGACGAUCUGUAGCUGGUCUGAGAGGAUGAUCAGCCACACCGGGACUGAGACACGGCCCGGACUCCUACGGGAGGCAGCAGUGGGGAAUAUUGGACAAUGGGGGAAACCCUGAUCCAGCCAUGCCGCGUGUGUGAAGAAGGCCUUUUGGUUGUAAAGCACUUUAAGCAGUGAAGAAGACUCUUCGGUUAAUACCCGGAGACGAUGACAUUAGCUGCAGAAUAAGCACCGGCUAACUCUGUGCCAGCAGCCGCGGUAAUACAGAGGGUGCAAGCGUUAAUCGGAAUUACUGGGCGUAAAGCGAGCGUAGGUGGCUUGAUAAGUCAGAUGUGAAAUCCCCGGGCUUAACCUGGGAACUGCAUCUGAAACUGUUAGGCUAGAGUAGGUGAGAGGGAAGUAGAAUUUCAGGUGUAGCGGUGAAAUGCGUAGAGAUCUGAAGGAAUACCGAUGGCGAAGGCAGCUUCCUGGCAUCAUACUGACACUGAGGCUCGAAAGCGUGGGUAGCAAACAGGAUUAGAUACCCUGGUAGUCCACGCCGUAAACGAUGUCUACUAGUCGUUGGGUCCCUUGAGGACUUAGUGACGCAGCUAACGCAAUAAGUAGACCGCCUGGGGAGUACGGCCGCAAGGUUAAAACUCAAAUGAAUUGACGGGGGCCCGCACAAGCGGUGGAGCAUGUGGUUUAAUUCGAUGCAACGCGAAGAACCUUACCUGGUCUUGACAUAUCUAGAAUCCUGCAGAGAUGCGGGAGUGCCUUCGGGAAUUAGAAUACAGGUGCUGCAUGGCUGUCGUCAGCUCGUGUCGUGAG
rnacentral:rRNA from 1 species